rnacentral:SRP_RNA from 1 species
CCGGGCGGCGAACGGCUGUGAACCCCGUCAGGUCCGGAAGGAAGCAGCGGUAAGCAGUGCGGUUUGGGUGCCCCGGGGAAGCC